rnacentral:rRNA from 1 species
UGAGGAAUAUUGGUCAAUGGACGGAAGUCUGAACCAGCCAAGUAGCGUGCAGGAUGACGGCCCUAUGGGUUGUAAACUGCUUUUAUGUGGGAAUAAAGUCAGGGACGUGUCCCUGUUUGCAUGUACCACAGGAAUAAGGACCGGCUAACUCCGUGCCAGCAGCCGCGGUAAUACGGAGGAUCCGAGCGUUAUCCGGAUUCAUUGGGUUUAAAGGGUGCGCAGGCGGGUCUGUAAGCCCGUGGUGAAAGCCUGGUGCUCAACGCCAGAGGUGCCGCGGGAACUGCAGGUCUUGAGUCGUGACGAGGGCGGCGGAAUGCGAAGUGUAGCGGUGAAAUGCUUAGAUAGUUCGCAGAACGCCGAUUGCGAAGGCAGCCGCCCAGGGACGCACUGACGCUGAGGGCACGAAGGCAUGGGGGAUCGAACAGGGAUUAGAUACCCUGGUAGU